ACUGCAGUGUGAGCACUUCUGGU
rnacentral:miRNA from 14 species